rnacentral:rRNA from 1 species
AACGAACGCUGGCGGCAGGCUUAACACAUGCAAGUCGAACGGUUGUAGCAAUACAGCAGUGGCAGACGGGUGAGUAACACGUGGGAACCUUCCUAGGGGUACGGAACAACUCAGGGAAACUUGAGCUAAUACCGUAUACGUCCGUGAGGAGAAAGAUUUAUCGCCCUUAGACGGGCCCGCGUAGGAUUAGGUAGUUGGUGGGGUAAUGGCCUACCAAGCCUACGAUCCUUAGCUGAUCUGAGAGGAUGAUCAGCCACACUGGGACUGAGACACGGCCCAGACUCCUACGGGAGGCAGCAGUGGGGAAUCUUGGACAAUGGGCGCAAGCCUGAUCCAGCCAUGCCGCGUGAGUGAAGAAGGCCUUCGG